UUCACCGCCGUUGAAGGUGGACGCCGAUUACUGUCACGUAAAGGCCAGUGAAAAUAUAAAAGCUUAUACAAGUGAGCAAGCACAUAGGCCAGUGAAAAUAUAAAACCUUAUACAAGUGAGCAUCUGAAACUUGAAACGUGCCGUGGCGGAUUCAUCAACGUGAAAUUCACACGAAGAACAGCCACGUGGUAUUGCAAUCGGACAUCUGCCGACGUGAUCGCACACAGAAGUGCACCAAAAGUCGAGUGGGAAAAGGAUUUCCACGAAACGACAGGAUUAAACCAUUCCGCAUACUAAACACCCAAGGCACGCACAAAGCAGAAGCCGAUUGACGAUCGUGCCCCCAUAGAAAGGCUCUCUACGGAGCAUUAAAGCUGAUCAUGCGGGUGGGCGAAAAGGCCAUCAUCGACAAGGUCAAACGAGAAACGAUUGUGGCGCAGUCGAAAGCAGGGGAAAAAGAGGCAUGAGAAUUAAAUCCCAAGUGAUCGGAACAACGAUCAACACAACGGUGAAUGCCAGGCUCGCGAUGAACAUUAGCAUCUUCAGGUAUAGAAUGCCCUCGAGUAGGCACUCUCGAUCAUAGCGCAUUCUGAAAACUGCACUGACAUCGUAAUUAGGAUCAUCGCACCGGGGCCCUGCUAGCGAGUCAUCAGCAACAAAACGAGGGCGAAGCUAAGGUACCAUAGUGAAUUAAAAUAAUUAUAAGGUAGUUUCGAGAAGAAU